rnacentral:rRNA from 1 species
GACGAACGCUGGCGGCGUGCUUAACACAUGCAAGUCGAACGGUAAGGCCCUUCGGGGUACACGAGUGGCGAACGGGUGAGUAACACGUGGGUGAUCUGCCCUGCACUUCGGGAUUAGCCUGGGAAACUGGGUCUAAUACCGGAUAGGACUCCGGACUGCAUGGUCUGGGGUGGAAAGCUUUUGCGGUGUGGGAUGGGCCCGCGGCCUAUCAGCUUGUUGGUGGGGUGAUGGCCUACCAAGGCGCCGACGGGGAGCCGGCCUGAGAGGGUGACAGGCCAACGUGGAACUGAGAUACGGCCCAGACUCCUACGGGGGGCAGCAGUGGGGAAUAUUGCACAAUGGGCGCAAGCCUGCUGGAGCGACGCCGCGUGAGGGAUGACGGCCUUCGGGUUGUAAACCUCUUUCAGCAUCGACGAAGCGAAAGUGACGGUAGGUGCAGAAGAAGGACCGGCCAACUACGUGCCAGCAGCCGCCGUAA